UCUUUCCCUAUUGAUUAGUUGGGGCUCCUUUUGCCUGAAUUACUGCAGGAAUGCAGCGUGGCAUGGACUCAAUCAGUCUGUGGCACUGCUCAGCUGGUAUGAGAGCCCAGGUUGCUCUGAUAGUGGCCUUCAGCUCUUC